rnacentral:rRNA from 1 species
AGUGAACGCUGGCGGUAGGCCUAACACAUGCAAGUCGAACGGCAGCACAGUAAGAGCUUGCUCUUACGGGUGGCGAGUGGCGGACGGGUGAGGAAUACAUCGGAAUCUACUUUUUCGUGGGGGAUAACGUAGGGAAACUUACGCUAAUACCGCAUACGACCUACGGGUGAAAGCAGGGGAUCUUCGGACCUUGCGCGAUUGAAUGAGCCGAUGUCGAAUUAGCUAGUUGGCGGGGUAAAGGCCCACCAAGGCGACGAUCCGUGGCUGGUCUGAGAGGAUGAUCAGCCACACUGGAACUGAGACACGGUCCAGACUCCUACGGGAGGCAGCAGUGGGGAAUAUUGGACAAUGGGCGCAAGCCUGAUCCAGCCAUACCGCGUGGGUGAAGAAGGCCUUCGGGUUGUAAAGCCCUUUUGUUGGGAAAGAAAAGCAGCAGGUUAAUACCCCGCUGUUCUGACGGUACCCAAAGAAUAAGCACCGGCUAACUUCGUG